UUGAACGCUGGCGGCAGGCCUAACACAUGCAAGUCGAACGGUAACAGAAAGCAGCUUGCUGCUUUGCUGACGAGUGGCGGACGGGUGAGUAAUGUCUGGGAAACUGCCCGAUGGAGGGGGAUAACUACUGGAAACGGUAGCUAAUACCGCAUAACGUCGCAAGACCAAAGAGGGGGACCUUCGGGCCUCUUGCCAUCGGAUGUGCCCAGAUGGGAUUAGCUAGUAGGUGGGGUAACGGCUCACCUAGGCGACGAUCCCUAGCUGGUCUGAGAGGAUGACCAGCCACACUGGAACUGAGACACGGUCCAGACUCCUACGGGAGGCAGCAGUGGGGAAUAUUGCACAAUGGGCGCAAGCCUGAUGCAGCCAUGCCGCGUGUAUGAAGAAGGCCUUCGGGUUGUAAAGUACUUUCAGCGGGGAGGAAGGGAGUAAAGUUAAUACCUUUGCUCAUUGACGUUACCCGCAGAAGAAGCACCGGCUAACUCCGUGCCAGCAGCCGCGGUAAUACGGAGGGUGCAAGCGUUAAUCGGAAUUACUGGGCGUAAAGCGCACGCAGGCGGUUUGUUAAGUCAGAUGUGAAAUCCCCGGGCUCAACCUGGGAACUGCAUCUGAUACUGGCAAGCUUGAGUCUCGUAGAGGGGGGUAGAAUUCCAGGUGUAGCGGUGAAAUGCGUAGAGAUCUGGAGGAAUACCGGUGGCGAAGGCGGCCCCCUGGACGAAGACUGACGCUCAGGUGCGAAAGCGUGGGGAGCAAACAGGAUUAGAUACCCUGGUAGUCCACGCCGUAAACGAUGUCGACUUGGAGGUUGUGCCCUUGAGGCGUGGCUUCCGGAGCUAACGCGUUAAGUCGACCGCCUGGGGAGUACGGCCGCAAGGUUAAAACUCAAAUGAAUUGACGGGGGCCCGCACAAGCGGUGGAGCAUGUGGUUUAAUUCGAUGCAACGCGAAGAACCUUACCUGGUCUUGACAUCCACGGAAGUUUUCAGAGAUGAGAAUGUGCCUUCGGGAACCGUGAGACAGGUGCUGCAUGGCUGUCGUCAGCUCGUGUUGUGAAAUGUUGGGUUAAGUCCCGCAACGAGCGCAACCCUUGAUCUUAGUUGCCAGCAUUCAGUUGGGCACUCUAAGGUGACUGCCGGUGACAAACCGGAGGAAGGUGGGGAUGACGUCAAAUCAUCAUGCCCCUUAUGACCUGGGCUACACACGUGCUACAAUGGCGCAUACAAAGAGAAGCGACCUCGCGAGAGCAAGCGGACCUCAUAAAGUGCGUCGUAGUCCGGAUUGGAGUCUGCAACUCGACUCCAUGAAGUCGGAAUCGCUAGUAAUCGUGGAUCAGAAUGCCACGGUGAAUACGUUCCCGGGCCUUGUACACACCGCCCGUCACACCAUGGGAGUGGGUUGCAAAAGAAGUAGGUAGCUUAACCUUCGGGAGGGCGCUUACCACUUUGUGAUUCAUGACUGGGGUG
rnacentral:rRNA from 1 species